CAAUUAUGAGAAAGUCUGAUUUGUCGUAGUUGAGUUUGAGGAGAUUUGUUUGCAUCCAGUGUCUGAUAUCAGAGAGACAGUUUGAGAGGGUGGAGUAGGUCUGAGAGGUGAUGGAUUUGGUGGAGAUGUAGAGCUGGAUGUCGUCAGCGUAACAGUGGAAACGGAGGCCGUGACGACGGAUGAUCUGACCGAGGGGGAGGAGGUAGAGGAUGAAGAGGAGAGGACCAAGCACCAAACCCUGGGGGACACCUUGGGACAGGGGGGCAGUCGAGGAGGAGCAGUUGUUGAUGAAGAUGAAUUGCUUCCUUUCAGAAAGGUGUAUGGAAAACAUGAUGAGGAACACCUGCGCUCUCGUCCUCCUGCUGCUGCUUCCUGCUGUGUGUGAGGGACAGCUGAGAGCUCAGGACUUCAUAUAUCAGGGAUACUCAAUGUCCUGGAAAGAGGCUCAGGCCCACUGCAGGGCGCAUUACACUGACCUGGUCACCAUCGCUGGGAAAAAAGAGAAUCAGAACUUCAUCAACACCCAGGGAUGGAUCGGUUUGUACCGAGACAAUUCAACCUCUCUGUGGAAAUGGUCCAGAAGGGACGAGAUAGCCAACUUCACCAUCUGGGACAGUAAUGAACCCAAAGCUGAUGAGAACUGUGCUUUUAAGUACCCAAGCACAGAGAAAUGGGAGAGCGAUAAAUGUAGCAGCAAGCACACUUUCUUGUGUUUCGACGAGAGGCUGGUUCUGGUGAAGGAGAGGAAGACGUGGGAGCAGGCUUUACAGCACUGCAGGGCUCUGGAGGCGGUCAACUCCAACCAGCCGGCCACUGAUUACCAGAACCACCGCUAUGACCUGGCCACCCUGCACAGUCCAGAUGACCACAAGUACGCAUGGGAGAAGGCAAAGUAUGCCCCCACUAAAGAGGUGUGGACGGGCCUGCGUUACCUGGCUGGUCAGUGGGUGUGGGUGGGCGGAGAACGAGUGCAGUACCUGGAUAUGAAAAGUUGCCCAACCCUCAGGUUUUGUGGCACCUUCCCAAAGAACAUCACCAAGAUAUACAACAUACGAGACUGCAGUCAGAAAAGGAGCUUCCUCUGUUACAGGAAGCCUUGAACGCAUCAGUCUUCUUCAAGUCUGUGGUUACUGAGAGGUUCUCAGCAAAGUUAGUGGAUUGUCCUUUUAAAGUUGAUUUAUGAUAAUUAAACAGUUUCUGCAUUUGCUGUGUUUAAGUGGUUUACUCAUAGGAUGUGCUGUUUGAAGAUACACGCUCCUUCUUGUUCAAUUAAUGCCGACUAUUUCAAGGUGCAACCACCACAGCACAUUCAAUAAACACUUCUGUCAGACAAGAAACAGUUUUAACUCACCUUGUAGGGGUCUGCCCAUUGGUCCGACAUCCCGUUGUUCCGAAAUCAUCAUGAUGCCCUGUGGUUAAGGUCUGGUUAGGUUUAGUCACAAAAACCACUUGGUUAGGGUCAGGAAAAGAUCAUGGUGUGGGUUAAAAUGAAAAAGAAAGUGACAAACACAUAACCCGUGAGCCUGCUUCGCCUCAAGCCUUUCCCAGCUGACCCAGAGCCAGUCGCGGCACCAUCAAGGCAGAAAUACGCCUGCCGGGAGCCGUUCAGCACCGCGGAGAGCUCCCCACACAACCCCGACCCCAGAGUUAAUACACCUACAUUUGUUGCGUUGCUGAUCCUCUAUGAUACACAAAUACAGUAUAGCCUAGUAUAAUCACAUAUCGGAACAACUUGACGUCGGACCAGUGACAUGGACCCACCUAGUAAUGGUCCGUCCUACAUCGCAGACCUUCUAACCCCCUAUUCUACACCCAGGUCCCUCAGGUCAGCUGACCUGGGGCUCCUGGCUGUCUCACGCUCCAGACUAAAGGUGCGGACACACCAAACCGACAUCAAAGAACUAGCAGCGACGAAAGCCAACUGUUGCGUCGUCUACGUCGCCUCACGUCGCCCUGUGUCAGUUGCAUUUGAACACACUACACGGACUACAUCUGACGGCCAAGUAGCACGUACGUUCUGCGCCUGCGUGAGAGAGAGCGGAGUGAGAGAGUGGUACAUCCUGUCAGCCGAGGGG